CAAGUCGAGCGGAACGAGUUAUCUGAACCUUCGGGGAACGAUAACGGCGUCGAGCGGCGGACGGGUGAGUAAUGCCUAGGAAAUUGCCCUGAUGUGGGGGAUAACCAUUGGAAACGAUGGCUAAUACCGCAUGAUGCCUACGGGCCAAAGAGGGGGACCUUCGGGCCUCUCGCGUCAGGAUAUGCCUAGGUGGGAUUAGCUAGUUGGUGAGGUAAGGGCUCACCAAGGCGACGAUCCCUAGCUGGUCUGAGAGGAUGAUCAGCCACACUGGAACUGAGACACGGUCCAGACUCCUACGGGAGGCAGCAGUGGGGAAUAUUGCACAAUGGGCGCAAGCCUGAUGCAGCCAUGCCGCGUGUGUGAAGAAGGCCUUCGGGUUGUAAAGCACUUUCAGUCGUGAGGAAGGUGGUGUAGUUAAUAGCUGCAUCAUUUGACGUUAGCGACAGAAGAAGCACCGGCUAACUCCGUGCCAGCAGC
rnacentral:rRNA from 1 species